rnacentral:rRNA from 1 species
AGGACGAACGCUGGCGGCGUGCUUAACACAUGCAAGUCGAACGAUGAUGCCCAGCUUGCUGGGUUGAUUAGUGGCGAACGGGUGAGUAACACGUGAGUAACCUGCCCCUGACUUCGGGAUAACGCUGGGAAACUGGUGCUAAUACCGGAUAUGACGCAUCCUCGCAUGGGGGGUGUGUGGAAAGGCUGUGUCGGUUGGGGAUGGGCUCGCGGCCUAUCAGCUUGUUGGUGGGGUGAUGGCCUACCAAGGCGUCGACGGGUAGCCGGCCUGAGAGGGUGACCGGCCACACUGGGACUGAGAUACGGCCCAGACUCCUACGGGAGGCAGCAGUGGGGAAUAUUGCACAAUGGGCGCAAGCCUGAUGCAGCGACGCCGCGUGAGGGAUGACGGCCUCGGUGUAACUCUUCAGUAGGAGAAGCCGUCGGGUGACGGUACGUGCAGAAGAAGACGCCGGCUACUACGUGCCAGCAGCCGCGUAA